CCGGCUGAACAUGGGAAGCUUCGUGGAAAGGAUCCCGGUGCAGAGUUCUAUCCUCAACACCAGACCUUUUUGUAGGGCUUGGGCUUUCAAAAGUUUGCGGCUCAAAACAUCCUCUCCUAUCGGGAGAGGUGGACUCUAGACCCAGAAGCCCAUCGGCCAGCAGGGGGCGGGACGGGGCCGGGGCCGCAGUCUCAGGUUGCAUCCCUGUGACCAGGUCUCGCUGGGAGGUCUGUCUUCUAUUACACUCAACGUCUGCCCUCUUUGGUUCCUACGUCUGACUUGUUUGCUCAGACUAACUUUGGUGUUCAUUAGAAAGUGUACUUCCCCCUGCAUUGACAGCGGCCCCGUUGCUGAGAUGGAAAGAGGAGGAAUUUAGUAAUCUGACCUCUAAAGAAGGCUCCGCUGGGGAUUCUCAAGUCUCUUGACUCAGAAAAAGGGCAGGCAUGAAUGAUCGUAGAUAGAAGCACCUUGAUGAGGGCAUAUACCCACGUAGAAUUCUGUGUGGCUGUGAAAAAGAAAGACAGAUAGA